UACGUAGGUCGCAAGCGUUGUCCGGAAUUAUUGGGCGUAAAGAGCUCGUAGGCGGUCUGUCGCGUCUGCUGUGAAAAUCCAGGGCUUAACCCUGGACCUGCAGUAGGUACGGGCAGACUAGAGUGCGGUAGGGGAGAUCGGAAUUCCUGGUGUAGCGGUGAAAUGCGCAGAUAUCAGGAGGAACACCGGUGGCGAAGGCGGCUCACUGGCCCGGUACUGACGCUGAGGUGCGAAAGCGUGGGGAGCAAACAGG
rnacentral:rRNA from 1 species